GAUGAAGAACGCAGCGAAAUGCGAUAAGUAGUGUGAAUUGCAGAAUUCAGUGAAUCAUCGAAUCUUUGAACGCACCUUGCGCUCCUUGGUAUUCCUUGGAGCAUGCCUGUUUGAGUAUCAUGAAAUCCUCAAAAUAUAUCUUUCGUUCAUUCGAUUGGUUUUAUUUUGGACUUGGAGGUCUGCAGAUUCACGUCUGCUCCUCUCAAAUGCAUUAGCUGGAUCUCAGUGAGCUCGGUUCCACUCGGCGUGAUAAGUAUCACUCGCUGAGGACACUGUAAAAAGUGGCCGGGAUUGCAGAUGAACCGCUUCUAAUCGUCUAUUAGCUUAGACAAUUAAAUCUUAUGAUCUGAUCUCAAAUCAGGUAGGACUACCCGCUGAACUUAAGCAUAUCAAUAAGCGGAGGA
rnacentral:misc_RNA from 1 species